GCCAGCAAUGGUGAACCCACCGGGAUAACUGGGAGAGAAGAUAAAAAUCUGCUCCAUAAGGAAAUGUCUGA
rnacentral:snoRNA from 1 species